rnacentral:rRNA from 1 species
GACGAACGCUGGCGGCGUGCCUAAUACGUGCAAGUAGAACGCUGAAGAGAGGAGCUUGCUCUUCUUGGAUGAGUUGCGAACGGGUGAGUAACGCGUAGGUAACCUGCCUUGUAGCGGGGGAUAACUAUUGGAAACGAUAGCUAAUACCGCAUAACAAUGGAUGACACAUGUCAUUUAUUUGAAAGGGGCAAUUGCUCCACUACAAGAUGGACCUGCGUUGUAUUAGCUAGUAGGUGAGGUAACGGCUCACCUAGGCGACGAUACAUAGCCGACCUGGGAGGGUGAUCGGCCACACUGGGACUGAGACACGGCCCAGACUCCUACGGGAGGCAGCAGUAGGGAAUCUUCGGCAAUGGGGGCAACCCUGACCGAGCAACGCCGCGUGAGUGAAGAAGGUUUUCGGAUCGUAAAGCUCUGUUGUAAGUCAAGAACGAGUGUGAGAGUGGAAAGUUCACACUGUGACGGUAGCUUACCAGAAAGGGACGGCUAACUACGUGCCAGCAGCCGCGGUAAUACGUAGGUCCCGAGCGUUGUCCGGAUUUAUUGGGCGUAAAGCGAGCGCAGGCGGUUUGAUAAGUCUGAAGUUAAAGGCUGUGGCUCAACCAUAGUUCGCUUUGGAAACUGUCAAACUUGAGUGCAGAAGGGGAGAGUGGAAUUCCAUGUGUAGCGGUGAAAUGCGUAGAUAUAUGGAGGAACACCGGUGGCGAAAGCGGCUCUCUGGUCUGUAACUGACGCUGAGGCUCGAAAGCGUGGGGAGCGAACAGGAUUAGAUACCCUGGUAGUCCACGCCGUAAACGAUGAGUGCUAGGUGUUGGAUCCUUUCCGGGAUUCAGUGCCGCAGCUAACGCAUUAAGCACUCCGCCUGGGGAGUACGACCGCAAGGUUGAAACUCAAAGGAAUUGACGGGGGCCCGCACAAGCGGUGGAGCAUGUGGUUUAAUUCGAAGCAACGCGAAGAACCUUACCAGGUCUUGACAUCCCGAUGCUAUUUCUAGAGAUAGAAAGUUACUUCGGUACAUCGGUGACAGGUGGUGCAUGGUUGUCGUCAGCUCGUGUCGUGAGAUGUUGGGUUAAGUCCCGCAACGAGCGCAACCCCUAUUGUUAGUUGCCAUCAUUCAGUUGGGCACUCUAGCGAGACUGCCGGUAAUAAACCGGAGGAAGGUGGGGAUGACGUCAAAUCAUCAUGCCCCUUAUGACCUGGGCUACACACGUGCUACAAUGGUUGGUACAACGAGUUGCGAGUCGGUGACGGCAAGCUAAUCUCUUAAAGCCAAUCUCAGUUCGGAUUGUAGGCUGCAACUCGCCUACAUGAAGUCGGAAUCGCUAGUAAUCGCGGAUCAGCACGCCGCGGUGAAUACGUUCCCGGGCCU